rnacentral:lncRNA from 1 species
UUUUUCUUUUUCUUUUUUCUUUCUUUUUUUCUUUUUAAGGGCAGCACUCACGGCAUAUGGAGGUCCCUAGGCUAGGGGUCAAGUUGGAACUACAGCUUCUGGCCUACGCCAGAGCCACAGCCAAUGAAGGAUCCGAGCCAUGUCUGCGACCUACACCACAGCUCACGGCAACGCUGGAUCCUUAACCCUCUGAACAAGGCCAGGGAUCAAACCUGUGUCCUCAUGGAUCCUAGUCUGGUUCAGUACCUGUUGAGUCAUCAUGGGAACUCCUCACAAGAGUUAUUUUUAAAAAGAUAUUCCCAUGCUGAAAAAAGUUGAGAAUGGCUGAAUGCAAUGGGAUUGUGAUGGAGAAGUUCAAAGAAUCUCACUUAUUUUACAUUUCAUGAUGAAAACUCUCAAAACCAUACACAAGGGUUCACUGCCAUUGGCCAAGUCUGGAAAGGGUGGGCAGGACCAAGCUCAUGUGCCCACAGGGCUCUCGGCCUUACCUUUUUGCUGGACUGGGGAGCAGACACGGCCACACCCAUUGCUGGUGCAUCGUCUUCCUUCCCCACAGUCCUGGUCUACCUUGCACUCCGUCACACAGAUACCUACAUCUUGAGAAAAGACCGGGUUGAGAGGCUCACAUUAAACCAGUACUUAUCUUAUAAAUGACCCUGACCUCAUAAUAGCGAUUUGCCUUUUGAUCUAAUACAUCACUGUUUAAACAUGAUCUCACACAGAACCUCAUCUGACCCUCUAACAAAUAAGAUCUGCAGUAUUUGCAGGAAUAUUUGCAGGAGUAUUUGCAGCAUUUCCUUAGGACUGAAUUACCUAUAGGAGAGAAACCUGCAAAGAAAGCCGGUUAAUGGUAACCCAAAUGGGCUUUAACUGGUAGAUUUUCUUAUUUGCAUAUUAUAUACGAGGACAUGAAGAGGUUGUCUGGUCAAUGGCAGAGUUGGGAUUUGAAUUCAGGGCUAUUUGCCUUGAAAGCUCAUGUCCCUUUUGCUCUACAGCUCCGUGAAAUUAACCUUGAAUACAAAGUUGAGCCCCCAAAGGUCAAGAAAUUCUUUCUGAUGGAAGUAGACAGUUUCCUGGAUUCUAACCCCUAAAAAGGUCUCAGUGUGGCUACUCACUAUUGAGGGAGAUGGAGUUGAAAGAUGGGGGUAGGCCUGGAAGCUGCAUCAAAGCCUUGGGUAAGAGAACACCACCUGUGCCAUCAUCACAGCACCAUCAACAAGAGAAUUCUCACUGCGGGUCCUGCCACCUGGCUGACCUGCUCUUGCCACUAGCCCUUUCCUGCUCCCUCAGCCUCUCUUUUAUCAUCCGUGUGGCCUGGGGAAAUGGGGCAAGACUAGACUAUUGGAGUGACUCCUCAAAUGUGGCUGAUUCUCAGAGUCACCUGGGAGCUUUGGAAAGAACUACAGAGAGCAAGACCUGGUCCAGACCUGAUUGCUCAGGUUCUCCAGGCUGAGCCUAUAGAUGCAGAUUUCAAUGAGUGUCCCCAGCGAUGCUGACACUGUAGGAAUCCACAAGCUGCUGCCUGCUUGGGAAGGAAACCUGGGGGCCAUAACUGUCUAUUGAUAUUUAACCAUUCCUUCAUUCAUUCAUCCAUUGUUCAUUUAUGCAUUCAUUUAUCCCCUUGUCCCUAAUUCAUUAAAUUAUUCUUUUAAAAAAGUACCUACCAUAUGUAAGGGAGAGGACUAGAUGUUUCAGGAAGUAGAGAUCUAUGUCAGGAGUCUUUAAGGCAGAAAAAAAUCUAGGAUGGGAAAUGAAAGUCUGUUCUCCUAUAACUACAUUUCACAGUAAAGUACCAUGAAAGAGGUACUGCUAAGAGUUAAAGGAGAGGUAUGGCUUAAUCAUUACUAUCCUACAGAAUAAGAUGGGAUUUAAAUACCUACCCAUAGACACACAACUGCAUGCACACACAGGCAGGCACACGCGCACACACAAACACACAAAACAUAGGUCUCGGGAGCAGAUGCUAAGAAGGGGCUGAUGCAAAGAAUGAAUGGAGCCCUUCCUGAGAGUUACUGUCAGCACUGUAUCAUUUUAACAAAUUAUAGAAUUUAGGAGUUCCCUUGUGGCACAGUGGGCUAGAGAUCCAGUAUUGUCACUGCUAUGGCCCGUUUUGCUCCUGUGGCUUGGGUGCAGUCUUUGGCACCAGAACGUCCACAUGCUGCAGGAACAGCCAAAAAAUAAAUAAAAUCCAAUAUUACAAUUUAAAAAAUGUCUGCUAUUAGGAGUUCCUGCUGUGGCACAGAGGGUUAAUGAUCCAGCCUGUCUCUGUAGAGGGGAUGGUUUGAUUCCUGGACCAGAGCAGUGGGUUCAACUUCCAGCAGCCUUGCUGCAACUGUGGUGUAGGUUGCAGAUGCAGCUUGGUUUCAGUCCCUGAUCAAGGANAUGUUAUUCAGAGAUGUUGAUCCAGUGUAUCUUCUGUUCCUGUCUCCUCAAAGUUUCCAGCUACCCAAGGCCCUGCCCCCAACUCCCAUUUUGUCAAUGGCGGCCCUUGCUUCUGGGGAGAACACACCAGCCUGGAAUAAAAGGUCCAGGGGCACAGCAGAGAGUUUCAAACUGGGCUUUGUUGAAUUAGACAACAGAACUGCAGAGACAGCAAAGGUUUUCUAAAUGUCAGAAGUGCCUCUUUACACAUACAAGGCUUAGAACUCUGAGCAGAGAGAAGAUGCAGGACAUACGUGAGUUCUCAUCCUACAGAAAAGGGAAAGUCCUUCUGGUUAAUGAGGAAGAGGGGGUGGGGAAGGGGUAUCAGAGGGAAGGAAGGAGGGAGGGGGGAAGGAGGGAGAGGAAAGGGGAGGGACUAUUGAUGAAAACAAACAUUCAUAACCUUGACCUUUUCCUUUCACUCCUAAGAAGUAUAUUCUACAGGAAACAGUUCCACAGAUGGACAAAAAUAUAAUACCACGUUCAUUAAAACUUCCUGAGGAAAGGCCAAAAAAUGUCAAGUAAAUAAAAUGACCACCAAAGGGUACUGCUUAAAUUAUGAUAAAUUUAUUCAUUCAUAAUCAUUUCACCCAAAAAAGAAUGAGAUGCAUUUGUGUUGACAUGGAAAGAUGUCCAGGACUAAUGUUAAAUUGUAAAAGAUACAUGUGAAACAUAAUAGGAUACUUUAUACAAGACAAUGGGAUAUAUGUUAAUUUAUGCAAAUUGAGGCCACAGUAAAGGGUUUGGGCUAAUUUCCUUAUGCUUCACAGACAGACCUGGGCUCUCCCCAUCCUUAUCAAUGUGGCCACAGGUAAGUCAUCUCACUGCUCUAAGCCUGGUGUCCUCAGCUGUAUAACACUGAUACCUGGCACGACUCUAACUCUGAGAUGUAAAAGCAGUCAUCUCAGAACCUGCCUGGCAAAUGGCAGGAGCUCGGGACUUGAUGCUUCUUCCCACAGUGACUGUGUGUCUGUCAGGGAAUCAGUUAAAGGAUAAGGUUGAUAAAGCCUUCUAGACACCAAAUAUUGUCAAAUAGUUCACACUGAUAUUUUUCAAACACACAUGGAAUCUCUUACCCAACAACUUACAAAGAGUUUAAGAGCAUCGCUGAGUCCACUGGAUAAUCAACCAUCAUGGGGUUGCCUGCCAUUGUGUACAUAAUUAUGUUGUCCAGUUGGGGGCACUGUUAAGGCACUUCUUGGGGUGGGGGCACUAUUUGCAGUAUGAGCCAAGUGACUGAAGGAAGAGGGUAGAGAGGAAUCAGGGCAUGGAGAGCCAGAGGAAAAAAAAAUUAGGUUCAGUCUUCAGUGUUCUCAUCUAUAAAAUGGAGGUGAGAGGAAUACCUCCAUCUCUGCUCCCGAAAGUUCUCACGAUUAAACAAAACCAUGGAUUUUGAAAAGACCUGGCACAGAGAGGUUGCCCAAUGGGUGUUUUUCACUCUCUCACACUCCGGGGGAUGCCAACUUAUUGCAAAGGAUUAUUGAAGCAAUCUCUAAAAACAAGUAAAUAGUUCAUAAACAUCACUGAAGUUUGUUGAUAAACUGCAUGAGAUUUAAAAACCAUAAACUCAUAUGAAAUUUCUACCAUUGUCAAAUAGUGAAAAAUGAAAAUAUAGCCAGCAUUAUGAAGUUUAUCAAACUUUUUUUAAGAAUAACAUUUAAUAUUUAUAUAUGUAUGUAUGUAUUGGCAGCUCUGCAGCAGAUGGAGUUGCUGAGCCAGGGAUCAGAGUCACAUGUGUGACCUAUGCCAUGGAAACUGCAACCCUGCAGCUUUAAACCCUUCAUCCUGGCACUGCAGAGAUGCCGCUGAUCCCAUUGGGCCACAGUGGGAACUGCUAUCAAACUUGGUGACAAACACAAUGCAUCCUCACAACAGCAAACUGGCAAAGUAUCUUUGGAUCAAAAAAAACAUGCCUGCUCUUUGAGUCAGCAGUACCAUUUCUAGGAAUGUUUCCCAGGCAAAUAAUCAAGUUACACAUGGAAAGAUUUUGUUCUGAGAGACUCUGAUAGCAAAAUAUCAGAGAAGUUUCAAAGUCCCAUGGUCAAGAAUUAGUAAACAGAAUGUGGUAUCUCACAACGAAAAUGCUUUGAAUCCUUUCAAGAAGAACAGAAUUGUAGAAAUGUGUCCACACUCAGAGAAAGCUAGUCACUGUAUAUUACCAGUUGUACAAAGAAAAUGGGCAAGGGAGUUCCCGGUUGUGGCGCAGUGGUUAACGAAUCCAACUAGGAACCAUGAGGUUGCGGGUUCGAUCCCUGGCCUCGCUCAGUGGGUUAAGGACCCGACAUUGCCGUGAGCUGUGAUGUAGGUUGCAGACUCGGCUCGGAUUCCGCGUUGUGCAGGCUGGCGGCGACAGCUCCGAUUAGACCCCUAGCCUGGGAACCUCCAUAUGCUGCG